AAUAUUUGACAAUGGAGGAAACCCUGAUUCAGCCAUCCCGCGUGUAUGAAGAAGGCCUUCGGAUUGUAAACCUCUUUGACAGGGGACGAAGUAAGUGACGGUACCCUGAAAACAAGCCACGGCUAACUACGUGCCAGCCGCCGCGGUAAUACGUAGGUGGGGAGCGUUAUCCGGAAUUACUGGGUGUAAAGGGUGUGUAGGGGGGAUCGCUAGUCAGUGGUGAAACCCGUGGGCUCAACCCACGGCCUGCCAUUGAAACUGCGGUUCUUGAGAAUGGGAGAGGUAAACGGAAUUCCCGGUGUAGCGGUGAAAUGCGUAGAUAUCGGGAGGAACAUCGGUGGCGAAGGCGGUUUACUGGACCAUAACUGACGCUGAGACACGAAAGCGUGGGGAGCAAACAGG
rnacentral:rRNA from 1 species